GCCUUCGUGGUCUAACGGUAGCACACUCGGCGCGCAUUCGAGAGGUCCGGGUUCGAGUCCCGGCGGGGGCA
rnacentral:tRNA from 1 species